UGUCCCAGAUGCACUUCACAUCCAAAGGGUCAGUUGUUGCUCCUGUAAUGAGAAGUUUUGCCUUUUCCCGUAACCUCAAUUGGGCAGGGUGCCUGUGAACAGCACAGAAUACAAGGAAAGGAAGCAGCCCAAGUGUUAGGGGUGUGGGAGCUGAUUGAACAUUUUAGACAUGAGAGCAGAGUAAGAGACAUAUCCCUCAGUGCCAGGGUUAUCCGUGUAACCCGAAGACUCUUUCUUAUUUAAAAAGCUAUUGCUUGUGAUCUUUUCCAAAGAGGAAAUCAAUAAAUGUCCACGAAAGUUGCUCUUUUGGUCGAAAUGAUAAAUGAACAUCGAAGUGCUAUAAAUUGGUAGCAACCAGUGUAGCGAUCCUGGAAUUCAGUAAGAAAGCCAGUAAGAGCAAAGCGAUGCUGAUUUCUCACCAACUCUGCAACCGUUGCUGACAUUCCUGGAAAUUGCCCAAAUAUUUGGUAUGGAACUUCUAAAAUUGUUUUUCUUUGCUUUGUGUUUCCUUUGAACUAAACUUAAAAAAACAAAAACAACCAAAGUCCUCUGGUACUGUCCUUGCCUAGCUGAUAUCUCCCAUGGCCAUUGCCAGGUUCACAAAUCUACUGCCCAGCACCUGCCAAUAGCCCUGGUCCCAUCUGCAUAGCAAGCUGUCUGUCAUACAGAAGCAGGCACCUUCUAGGAUAGAGUUAGGAAUAGACUGUUGCUCCAUGGAACCCAAAGGCUGUGCUUCCAGCAAAGGCAAGAGAAACCACUUCAUUUUCCUGUGUGCCACUAACCAAUGAAAUGAGCACAAACUCUUGUGUUUCCUUGGGUAUAAUUCCUGUGGGUUGCAAUAACAUAACUGACUGA